ACCAUUUGAUGGGACAUGAAGUCGAGAUGCAGGUGGUUUGAAAUACUUUGCCUCGUCGAUUUGGCGCUCCAGGUCUUCCAGAGUUGAAUGCAUCUCAGCUACAAUAAUCGGGCAAUUAUGGAGGUUGCUCAAGUACUGCUUUAUUUCGGAGUUGAACAAAUUAUCUAUGUUUCUGAAAUGACGCACUGCUAAAUAAAGGUCUAUUCUCCGAAGACUGCGCCUUAUGCUAGUGAGGAAAAUGAUGUGGUUCGUGAGCAAUGGGCUAAGUUUUAUACCAGCAUGUAUUUAUUAUUGAUCUGAGGGCGCUUGAUCGAGUUGGUUUAGAUGUUAUAG